GGAUCCAGACUUUGAUUUGGCUCAGGAUGAACGCUAGCUACAGGCUUAACACAUGCAAGUCGAGGGGAAACGACAUCGAAAGCUUGCUUUUGAUGGGCGUCGACCGGCGCACGGGUGAGUAACGCGUAUCCAACCUGCCCACCACUUGGGGAUAACCUUGCGAAAGUAAGACUAAUACCCAAUGAUAUCUCUAGAAGACAUCUGAAAGAGAUUAAAGAUUUAUCGGUGAUGGAUGGGGAUGCGUCUGAUUAGCUUGUUGGCGGGGUAACGGCCCACCAAGGCAACGAUCAGUAGGGGUUCUGAGAGGAAGGUCCCCCACAUUGGAACUGAGACACGGUCCAAACUCCUACGGGAGGCAGCAGUGAGGAAUAUUGGUCAAUGGACGAGAGUCUGAACCAGCCAAGUAGCGUGCAGGAUGACGGCCCUAUGGGUUGUAAACUGCUUUUAUAAGGGAAUAAAGUGAGUCUCGUGAGACUUUUUGCAUGUACCUUAUGAAUAAGGACCGGCUAAUUCCGUGCCAGCAGCCGCGGUAAUACGGAAGGUCCGGGCGUUAUCCGGAUUUAUUGGGUUUAAAGGGAGCGUAGGCCGGAGAUUAAGCGUGUUGUGAAAUGUAGACGCUCAACGUCUGCACUGCAGCGCGAACUGGUUUCCUUGAGUACGCACAAAGUGGGCGGAAUUCGUGGUGUAGCGGUGAAAUGCUUAGAUAUCACGAAGAACUCCGAUUGCGAAGGCAGCUCACUGGAGCGCAACUGACGCUGAAGCUCGAAAGUGCGGGUAUCGAACAGGAUUAGAUACCCUGGUAGUCCGCACGGUAAACGAUGGAUGCCCGCUGUUGGUCUGAAUAGGUCAGCGGCCAAGCGAAAGCAUUAAGCAUCCCACCUGGGGAGUACGCCGGCAACGGUGCAACUCAA
rnacentral:rRNA from 1 species